rnacentral:rRNA from 1 species
UCGGAUUGUAGGCUGAAACUCGCCUACAUGGAGCUGGAAUUGCUAGUAAUCACAGGUCAGCAUACUGUGGUGAAUACGUUCCCGGGCCUUGUACACACCGCCCGUCACACCAUGAGAGUUGAGAAUACCCGAAGCCCAUGUCAAAGUGGUCGAAGGUAGGCUUGAUGAUUGGGGUGAAGUCGUAACAAGGUAAC